GACGAACGCUGGCGGCGUGCUUAACACAUGCAAGUCGAACGGAAAGGCCUGCUUUCCCUUGUGGAUUGCGGGUACUCGAGUGGCGAACGGGUGAGUAACACGUGAGUGAUCUGCCCCCAACUUGGGUAUAAGCCUGGGAAACUGGGUCUAAUUCCCGAUAGGACUGCAGGGUGGUGCCUGUGGUGGAAAACGAUUUUCUAGUGGUUGGGGAUGAGCUCGCGGCCUAUCAGCUUGUUGGUGGGGUAAUGGCCUACCAAGGCGGCGACAGGUAGCCGGCCUGAGAGGGUGGACGGCCACAUUGGGACUGAGAUACGGCCCAGACUCCUACGGGAGGCAGCAGUGGGGAAUAUUACACAAUGGGCGGAAGCCUGAUGCAGCGACGCCGCGUGGGGGAUGACGGCCUUCGGGUUGUAAACUCCUUUCGACCGCGAGGAAGCCACCUGGUUGGAAGGGUGGUGACGGUAGUGGUAGAAGAAGCACCGGCUAACUACGUG
rnacentral:rRNA from 1 species